CCUACGGGAGGCAGCAGUGAGGAAUAUUGGACAAUGGGCGCAAGCCUGAUCCAGCCAUGCCGCGUGCAGGAAGAAGCAUCUAUGGUGUGUAAACUGCUUUUGUACAGGAAGAAACACUCCCUCGUGAGGGAGCUUGACGGUACUGUAAGAAUAAGGACCGGCUAACUCCGUGCCAGCAGCCGCGGUAAUACGGAGGGUCCGAGCGUUAUCCGGAAUCAUUGGGUUUAAAGGGUCCGUAGGCGGUUUAAUAAGUCAGUGGUGAAAUCUGGUCGCUCAACGAUCAAACGGCCAUUGAUACUGUUAGACUUGAAUUAUAAGGAAGUAACUAGAAUAUGUAGUGUAGCGGUGAAAUGCUUAGAUAUUACAUGGAAUACCAAUUGCGAAGGCAGGUUACUACUUAUGGAUUGACGCUGAUGGACGAAAGCGUGGGGAGCGAACAGGAUUAGAUACCCUGGUAGUCCACGCCGUAAACGAUGGAUACUAGACUGUUCGGUAGCGACUACUAGUAGUAGGUCGUAAGACGAAGUAGAGUAAGUAAGUACCGUACCGUACGGGUAGGUACGUUACGUACGAACGAAGUAGAACGUACGAAACGUAGUAAGUUAGUACGGACGUAGAGACGUACGACCGACGGACGACGACGAGGGGAGGAGGG
rnacentral:rRNA from 1 species